UUAACUGGCGUUUGUUUCCCCUUUGUCUCUGGUUCAUCUUCCUUUUCCUGUUUGGCUCUAAGCAGAGCCUCAGCGUCACGUCGCUGCCUCCCCGGGGUCCGUGGCCCUCUGGUCAGCGGGCCCAGUGGGAUCCACGACCCACCGCCUCGCUGCUCCGUGCCGCAGCCACGCAGCCAUGGCCACCGUUGAACAGAGUAUCUGCCAAGCCCGGGCUUCCGUGAUGGUCUACGAUGACACCAGUAAGAAAUGGGUUCCCAUCAAACCUGGCCAGCAGGGAUUCAGCCGGAUCAACAUCUACCACAACACUGCCAGCAACACCUUCAGAGUUGUCGGGGUCAAGCUGCAGGAUCAGCAGGUCGUGAUCAAUUAUUCAAUCGUGAAAGGGCUGAAGUACAAUCAGGCGACGCCAACCUUCCACCAGUGGCGAGACGCCCGCCAGGUCUACGGUCUGAACUUCGCGAGCAAGGAGGAGGCGACCACCUUCUCCAACGCGAUGCUCUUCGCGCUCAACGUCAUCAACUCCCAGGAAGGAGGCCCCUCCAGCCAGCGUCAGGUGCAGAAUGGCCCCUCUCCCGAUGAGAUGGACAUCCAGAGAAGACAAGUGAUGGAGCAGCAGCAGCAGCGCCAGGAGUCUCUGGAGAGAAGGGCCUCAGGCACAGGACCCCUCCUGCCACCGGGACACCCCUCCUCCGCAGCCAGUGCCCCCCUCUCCUGUAGCGGGCCUCCACCGCCACCCCCACCCCCCGUCCCACCUCCGCCCACGGGGGCCACACCGCCUCCCCCACCCCCACUGCCGGCUGGAGGCGCGCAGGGCACCAGCCACGACGAGAGCUCCGUGUCGGGCCUGGCCGCCGCCCUGGCUGGGGCCAAGCUGAGAAGAGUCCCGCGGCCAGAAGAUGCGCCCGGAGGCUCCAGUCCCAGCGGGACCUCAAAGUCUGACGCCAACCGGGCGAGCAGUGGGGGUGGAGGAGGAGGCCUCAUGGAAGAAAUGAACAAACUGCUGGCCAAGAGGAGGAGAGCAGCCUCCCAGACAGACAAGCCGGCGGAUAAGAAGGAAGACGAAAGCCAAACGGAAGAGCCGAGCCCCUCCCCAUCUCCGGGGGCCCGAGCAGCCAGCCAGCCCCCCAACUCCUCAGAGGCUGGCCGGAAGCCCUGGGAGCGGAGCAGCUCGGCCGAGAAGCCCGUGUCCUCCUUGCUGUCCAGAACCCCGUCCGUGGCAAAGAGCCCCGAAGCUAAGAGCCCCCUUCAGUCGCAGCCUCACUCUAGGUACCGAACCGCCCGUCUCCGGGGCCUCCUUUGUCCCCCGCCCAUGACUAACACCCGCGGGCCGCCCGCGUCCUGGCGUCUAACAGUUUGCUCUGGGAAGGGGCGGUCUGUGCCUCCUUCAGACCCGGGAGAGGGGCCGGAGCCGGAGCCCCGGGGGGGGCGGCGGAGCGGGGCUCGAUCCCAGCCCGGGCCUGGCGGGUCGUGCCUCCAGGUAAGGGGGUCCUAAGGAUGCUGUGCGGACAACAGCUGGACGCAGGACGCCCCGGCCCGCUGGGGCCGCCUCCUGCAGUCCGGGUUCGGGGCCGGCCCGGUGCCCACCUCCUCUGCUCCCUCUGCAUCUUCCCCAGAGACGCGCUGACCGUAUUUCCCAAACCAAAAGCUGGCGGCUGACAGGCUGGGAUGCGGGAAACGGAGGUCCCUCACGAAAGAGAGAGAGUCACGUAGCAACCACGGGCCACGUGUGGCUUAAGCCGCAGGCCUGAGAACCCGGCCUGGGAAGCGUCUCCGGCGCCUGUCACAGGUGCAAGGGAAGAGCAGGCGGCGCUGGGGCCUCGUCCUGCGCAGUGAAACCGGCCGACCAAGGGGCCUCCGCCGGCCCAGCAGGAAGGGCGAUGCCCGAUGUGGGGGAACAGGGAGGUGGGGUGUCCACAGUCAGCCAGGGUGUGCGGAGGGCCGUGUCGGCUGGCUUCGGAGCCAGGCCUGCAGGUCCCUGCCUGCCAGGAGCUCACUUCCCCGCUGACAGGGCCCGUAAAUAAACAGAACUGUGAGCUCUGAGAGGUGCCCCGGGGGGAGGCGUAGAGGGUGGCAUGGUGGGUGGUGCCGAGGACAGAGGUGCUUUAGUGAGGGCUGGCACAGGCCCCUUAGAGGUGCCGUUUGACGUGACCUCAGUGGGGGCACUGCCCUGCGUAGACAGGAGUGGGUGGUACUAAAGCCCUGAGCCUGUCACCGGCCUGGCAAGUUAAAAAAUGGGAAGCAGGCCCGCAUGGCAAGCAGGUAUAGGACGUGGGUGUCGGGGGCCAGGGCAGGGCCUGCUCAGAGCGGGGGAAGGGGUCACAUGGCUAGAAGUUUGGGGGUUUUGGUUUUUAGGUUUUUUUUGGUUUUUAGGGCUGUUCAUGGCAUACGGAGGUUCCCAGGCUAGGGGUCAAAUUGGAGCUGUAGCCACUGGCCUACACCACAGCUACAGCAACACAGGAUCCGAGCCACAUCUAUGACCCACACAAACCACGGCUCACGGCAACGCUGGGUCCUUAACCCACUGAGCGAGGCUGGGGACCAAACCCACAUCCUCAGGAAUCCUUGUCAGGUUCGUUAACUGCUGAGCCACAAAGGGAACUCCAGAAGUUUGGGUUUUAUUCUGUGCACAGGCCCCGUCGGGACCUGAAAUGACUUACAGACACCUCGGGACCAUGCUGGGCCCCUCUCUGGAGUUCAUCCAGGAGGAGGCAGGGCGCUCCGUCUUUCCCAUGUUUCAUCCGGGGCUGUGCACAGGACCACUAAGUUUGUGUGGCAUCCAAUGGGCUUUUUUCCAGAUUGAGAUAAUUGACAUCCCCUGUCAUCCAAACUGGUGAUUGGAUGUACGUACACGUUUUAAGAUGACGCCCCCAGUGUGCACCUCAUGUGUGUGUGUGUGGCGAGAGCUCACACGAUCUACUGUCUUAGCUGCUGUGAAGGAUACCACACGGAACUAUCAACUGCAGUCAAUGCGUUAGGUCCCCAGAAGGUCACCUUAUCCCUGGAAGAGUGUGCCCUUUGACCUCCACCAAUUUCCCCCACCCCCAGCCCCUGGCGGCCACCUGUCUACUCUUUGUUUCUGUGAGCUUGGCUUUUCUAGAUUUUACGCGUGUGUGAGAUCACACAGCAUCUGUCUUCCCCUGUCCGGCUUACUUCACUUAGCGUAAUGUCCACGUAGUCACACACGGCAGGGCUUCCUUCUCUCGCGGCGGAAGACUCCGUUGUGUGAAGGAGUGCGACAUGUACGUACGUAGGUACCGAUGUGACAUCUUCCUCAUCCACUCCCCUGUCCGGGGACACUUAGGUGGCCUCCGUGCCGUGGCUGCGGUGAACGGGGCGGCAGACAUCUCGGGACAGUGACUUCGUCUUCCCCGGAUGUGCACCCAGGGGUGGGAUUGCUGGCUCAGGAGCCCUUCUGUCUUCGGCUCUUAGAGGCCCCUCUGCUCGGGUCUCCAGAGCAGCUGCACCGGCCCCUUCGUCUCACGCUUGUUCUCCUUGGCUGUGGGCGGCGCCCGUCCUUGCCUCCUCCAGAUUUGCCCUGAUCUGCACCCUGGCCCUGUGGGUGCUCGCUGGUUCUGUCAGGCUGGUGUGUCCACCAGCUGUCACGGCCCCAGUCCCUGUCGCCGGCUCUGGCCCCCUCACUUCUAGGAACCUGCCUUUCCCUCCGCGUAGGGGAGAGACGGGGAGCAGAAGGCGUGCGCUCAGCACCGCAGCCCUGCUCGGAAAGGCCAGGUGGUUGGAUGUGCAUCUGACAAGACUUUCCGGGGAGGAUCCGUGGGCCAGAGGCAUUACACUUCAAUCCAGCCAACGUUAGUUCAGAGACAGUGCAGCCACAAAACUGAAACCUUUGCCUCCAAAGAGCAAAACCUUGGAGUUCCCUAGUGGUGUAACAGGUUAAGAAUCUGGCGUUGUCGCUGGAUCAGGUCGCUGCCCUGGCGCGGGUUCGAUCCCUGGCCUGGGAACUUUUGCAUGCCAUGGGCAUGGCCAAAAAGCCACUAAACCACAUCCUCAGAUGUCUCCUGAAGUAGUUGUACACCAGAGCCAGAUACUGACCUCAGGGACACUGGCUUGUGUCAGAGUGGGGGUCUUUAGGACGAAUGUCUCUGUACAGUUUUAGCAAUUUUGUGUUUAAUGCCGCUGUUGUUGGUUUUCCCCAAGUCUCCGUCUAGCCAGGAACAUAGACCUCAAACCGAGGACCAGCUGAUCAGCAUCCUCUUUUUGGGGGGCAGGGGUGGGGAGCAGCCUGUGACACCUAGCACUCUCUGCUUGCACUGCGAGCCGUCAAGUCUGAAGCCCCCAAGGCCUGACUCUUGGGUUGGGCAGUACGGUCAGUCUCCGUGAGACCCUGUUGAGGUGGAGACAGGCGUGAGAGGCCUUUCCAGGUAGCUGAAGAGCGGCCAGAGGUGAAAGGAAGCCUUUGAAGGGCGGUGGGAAGAGGUGGCGGGUACCCGCAAGGCCCCGCCGCCCGCCUUACCGCACCCUGCCGUCCCCCGCCCCCCAGGAUGAAGCCGGCGGGAAGUGUAAACGACGUGGCCCUGGAUGCCUUAGAUUUGGACCGGAUGAAACAGGAGAUCCUGGAGGAGGUGGUCCGAGAGCUCCACAAAGUGAAGGAGGAGAUCAUUGACGCCAUCAGGCAGGAGCUGAGCGGGAUCAGCACCUCCUAGGGCCCGAGGCCCCACCGCCGCCCGAGACGCCGGCCCCCCGGACGCAGAGACAGCGAGGAGCUGGCGCCCCAGGCCUCCGGCCCGCGCACACGCACCGAAGCUGGAUGUGCCGCGUUUAAGAGUCUUAACCUGUGGUAAAAUAUUAAAAUGAGGAAAAAAGUUCAAAUCUUGGAUUUUUUUAGAUUUAACCUGACACAGAACACCAGGUCUCCUCGCCUUUUUUGUAUUUUAUAUUUGCCUAUUUAAGUGUACAUUUCUUUUGGGUUAGAGAAGACCCUGCGUCCCGCGCUUCAUUAGAUGGUCCGAGUGCUCCCGCAGGUGCCGCGGGCCGCGCCUCCCAGCGUCGUGGUGGCCGGGCUGUCCGGGCACCGCGCGUCCGUGUCCACGUGCUAAUAAAGGCUUACUGUCCACACCC